AAACCGGUUACAGCAUCCCAUGAAUGUUUUAUAAGAAACUCCUGAGGAAAGAAGCUGGAUUCUCCAAAUAGUGAUGAGAUGAGAUCCUAAGUGGAGACAACAGCCUGCAGCUGACUUAGAGUAUGACCAGACCAGACUAGACUGGAGCAGGUCAGAAGCACUGGAAACAAAUUCAAGAGGAUGAAAUUGGUAGACAACCUAUGUGUUUGAAUAUACUUAGAGGAAGGAUAUUGAUGUACCUGAGAGAAGAGUUUGGAAGAGUCAGACAGCAAAAUAAUCAUAGUAUAGACAGCACAAUAAGAACAGGCUGGCAUGAACCUGUAACCUGAGUUUGCACAACCAGAUGCUCCUCAGAGCCUGAGCAGACAAGCCAAGGACAACCGGUGGGCAGGUCAGAGGAAGGUGAGCCCCUGAAGGGGUCGCUCUCCCUCCGUGUCUGGGUGAGAUUCUCUAGACUCACUCCCUGAGCUCCAACUCCACACCCACCUGAGACCCUUUGGCUCACAUUAGCCCACCUCUUCUGGUGUUUGCAAUCAAACAUCCUAACAGACCUGAUUAGGAUUUGGCAGGGAGUCUCUACCCUCAACCCUUGUUUCACCAGAAUCCCUGGUACAUCUUUUUACCACUGACAUCACACACUGGGGCUGGGACAGGGCAGCGGGGUCCAUGCCAAGCUCCCUGGGGGUUCUGAUCUCAGCCAGGGUGGAGAAGUAUGGCUUUAGGUUGUCUUGGCCGGUGAGUAUAAACCACCACAAUGAGAAAGAGAUGAUGAUUUAUAAAAAAAGAGAAAUAAAAAUAUUGUGGCAGGAUCAUAAACCCUACGUGUUCUUUGGCUGCCUUGAAUUAAGUGGGGACACUUCCCGGAAUCCUGUUUGCUUGGGCAAUUGGAAAAUUCUAGCCAUCACCAAGAAUGGUUUUGUUUUUCUUAGGUAUCUUGACUUCCCUCAGAACCUAGAGCUGAUUGUAGCACCAGGAAAGUAGAUGUGCAUUUCCCUGGGUUGCUAAAUACUCAUUAAAGAGCUAUUCAUCUACUUAUUUGCUCCUAGCUCAGCCCCCGUUUUCCUAUAGCUACUUGUGCCCCAUUCUGGGGCUUGCUGCCCAACCUCUGUGAUCAGGGGCUGGGGCUCCCACUUUCUGCUUUGUUCUUUUGCAGACUGAUAAACCAAUGCUUUUUCCUCUCACCGAUUGCAAAUCAGAAGUCAGGAGAACAUCCAUGCUCAUCAUUCAUUCAUUCAUACUUUUUAAUAAUUUUU